GGCUGCUGCAUCCUGGAUGAGGCUGGCCUCAGCUUCCUGCAGAGCUAAGCCCUGGGCCGUGUGCUUCCCAAGCUGAGGCGGGCAGGGGAGCCGGACCAGGGAGGACGGUGGCCCCUGCAUCUGGCCUGCUGCUCCCCAGCCCCAACCUCUGGGUCCCUACAAAGCAGGGAAGGGACCCCCGGGGCGUGGUGAGGCUGCAGCUCUCCAGGAGUUCCACACGGGCCCAGUGCUGCCCCUGCUGCUGCAGGAGCCCCCAGGCGAGGUUCGGCCUUCCUCUCGCCCCUGUGCACCCGGAGAUGCCCACAGCACCAGCACCUGAGCUCACCUCCGAACCCGCCUCCUGAACCCGCCUCCUGAACCUGCCUCCUUACCUCCCACUUCCUGAGCCCUGAGUGGAAGCCUUUCUGUGCCUUGCCCUUUGCCCACUCCCCUGGUGGGACUGCCAAGACCCUCAAUGCCCAUUAAAUACUCUUGCCUGC
rnacentral:lncRNA from 1 species